GGGAAUUUUCUGGAAACAGAAAAGUGCUUCUUUAUAGAAGAGCCUGGAGACAGGUGCUCCAUGGCUGUUCGUCAGCUCGUGUCGUGAGAUGUUGGGUUAAGUCCCGUAACGAGCGCAACCCACGCCUUUAGUUGCCAUCAUUUAGUUGGGCACUCUAGAGGGACAGCCCCGGUUAACGGGGAGGAAGGUGUGGAUGACGUCAAGUCCUCAUGGCCCUUAUGGCCAGGGCUACACACGUACUACAAUGGGCGGUACAAAGGGCAGCUACAUCGCGAGGUGGAGCCAAUCCCCCAAAACCGUUCUCAGUCCGGAUCGGAAUCUGCAACUNGACUCCGUGAAGUUGGAAUCGCUAGUAAUCGUGGAUCAGCAAGCCACGGUGAAUAGUUCCCGGGCCUUGUACACACCGCUCGUCACACCA
rnacentral:rRNA from 1 species